rnacentral:rRNA from 1 species
GGAAUCUUGCGCAAUGGCCGAAAGGCUGACGCAGCGACGCCGCGUGCGGGAUGAAGCUUCUCGGAGUGUAAACCGCUGUCAGGUGGGACGAAGGUCCCGAUCAGGAAAUGGGUUGGGGAUGACGGUACCACCAAAGGAAGCACCGGCUAACUUCGUGCCAGCAGCCGCGGUAAUACGAAGGGUGCGAGCGUUGUUCGGAAUUAUUGGGCGUAAAGCGCACGUAGGCGGCCUUGUAAGUCUCACUGUGAAAGUCCGGGGCUCAACCCCGGGAUGCCAGGGGAUACUGCGAGGCUCGAGACAAGUAGAGGUUGGUAGAAUUCCGGGUGUAGCGGUGGAAUGCGUAGAGAUCCGGAGGAAUACCAGAGGCGAAGGCGGCCAACUGGGCUUGUUCUGACGCUGAGGUGCGAAAGCGUGGGGAGCGA